GCGGCUGUGGCGCGGCCGGUCGUUUCCCCUCACCCUCCCCACCGGGCUGCAGGAAACACACACGCAGUCGUUUCACACACGGUAAGGCCGGUCCUGUACGGAUGCUCAUCGCCAUCUCCCACGGUGAAGAGUACCUGCUUAUUUUAGGAAGGCCCCGGUUGGGUCAAGAUGAUCCUCCGUGUUCUUGGCGAAAUAGUACCUCAUGUUUGCUGAGUCACAUCAUGCAGGUUCAUUUCUUCAACAGGUUCUUCACCUUGCCAGGCGUCUUGGCACAGCCCAUAUCUGAACCCUUUUCUUCAACCCCUAUUGACAUCUUACCUAACCUCUGGUCCUCGGAUUCCUCAUCAGUAAACUCCACACCUGCUUAGUUCAGACCUUCGCACUUGGGGUCCUGUUCACCGACAGCUGGAGAAGCAGCUCAGUCUGCUGGCACCAGGCAUGGGGGAUCAUGACAACUCACUCUUCCAGUGAAAUCAUGCAUUCAUUAAGGGGAAACUGCAUCGGAAAGUCCCCAUAGGUAAGAUGUGUUACGUGGAUCAAGGGAGUUCCCUGCUUGGGGUCUCGCAAGGAUGAAACCAAGGUGUUAGCUGGGCUGGGGUCUUACCUGGAGGCUCUGGGGAGGAAGCAGCUUCCAAGCUCAUCCAGGCGGUGGGCUGACGUCAGCUCCUGUGGCGGCAGGACUGAACCCACAUUCUUGCAGGACGUCCUCGGGGGCUGCUCUCAGAUUCUCGAGUCUGCCCCUAUUGCCAUCAACUGGUUCCUGCCAUCUUCAGUCAA